CGGGCGGCCGCGGCCAUGACGCAGGGUCCGGGCGGGCGCGCGGCCCCCCCGCCCCCCGCACCCCCGGAGCCUGAGGCGCCCACCACCUUCUGCGCGCUGCUGCCGCGCAUGCCGCAGUGGAAGUUCGCGGCCCCAGCCGGCUUCCUGGGCCGCGGCCCGGCGGCGGCGCGGGCUGCGGGGGGCGCGGGGGCGGCGGGGGGAGCCGAGCCCGAGCCCGAGCCGGCCGGCUCGGCCGGCGUCCCGGCGCUGGCGGCGGCGGUCCUGGGCGCCUGCGAGCCGCGCUGCACCGCGCCCUGCCCCCUGCCUGCGCUCAGCCGCUGCCGGGCUGCCGGGGCGCGGGGGUCGCGGGGCGCGCGGGGGGCAGCCGGGCCCCCGGACUCCGCCGCCGACGAGUGGAUCCGCAAAGGCAGCUUCAUCCACAAGCCGGCGCACGGCUGGCUACACCCGGACGCCAGGGUCCUGGGGCCCGGGGUCUCCUACAUCGUUCGGUACAUGGGCUGCAUCGAAGUCCUCCGUUCCAUGCGCUCCCUGGACUUCAGCACUCGCACCCAGCUCACCAGGGAAGCCAUCAACCGGCUCCAUGAGGCCGUGCCUGGCAUCCGGGGCUCCUGGAAGAAGAAGGCCCCCAACAAGGCACUGGCCUCCAUCCUGGGCAAGAGCAACCUGCGCUUCGCGGGCAUGAGCAUCGCCGUCAGCAUCUCCAUCGACGGCCUCAACCUCUCCGUUCCCGCCACGCACCAGAUCAUCGCCAGCCACCACAUGCAGUCCAUCUCCUUUGCGUCGGGGGGUGACACGGACAUGGUGGAUUAUGUGGCCUACGUGGCCAAGGACCCCAUCAACCAGAGAGCCUGCCACAUCCUGGAGUGCUGCGAGGGCCUCGCCCAGAGCGUCAUCAGCACCGUGGGCCAAGCCUUCGAGCUGCGCUUCAAACAGUACCUGCACAGCCCCCCCAGGGUUGUCGUCCCCCCGGGAAGGCUGACUGGGCCGGAGGACUCGGCCUGGGGGGACGAGGACGAGACAGAACACAGCUACUACAACCGCACUCCUGGGAAGGAACCGCCCCUGGGCGGGCUGGUGGACUCCAGGCUCACCCCCGCGCAGCAGCCCUGCGCCCUCGGGGCCCUUGGCCAGGGAGCAUCUCCUGCUCGAAGAGACGCCCGAGGCCCGCAGUGGGACGUGGGCCCCUCAGCCCCGCCCGGGGAUGGCUACGUGCAGGCAGACCCGCGGGGCCCGCGAGACUACGAGGACCACUUGUAUGUCAACACGCAAGGUCUGGACGGCCCGGAGACCCUGCAGCCUGAGGACAGCCCCAAGAAGGACCUGUUCGACAUGAGACCCUUCGAGGAUGCCCUGAGGCUGCACGAGUGCUCCGUGGCCGCGGGUCCGGCGGCAGCCCCCCUUCCCGUGGAGGACCAGUGGCCCAGCCCGCCGACCCGCCGGGCCCCCAUCGCCCCCACGGAAGAGCAGCUGCGGCAGGAGCCCUGGUACCACGGCCAGAUGAGCCGUCGGGCGGCGGAGAAACUGCUUCGAGUGGACGGGGACUUCCUUGUGCGGGACAGCGUCACCAACCCGGGGCAGUAUGUCCUCACCGGCAUGCACGCAGGGCAGCCCAAGCACCUGCUGCUCGUGGACCCCGAAGGCGUGGUAAGGUGCGGACGAAGGACGUGCUCUUCGAGAGCAUCAGCCACCUGAUCGACUACCACCUGCAGAACGGGCAGCCCAUCGUGGCCGCCGAGAGCGAGCUGCACCUGCGUGGUGUCGUCAGGCGGGAACCCUGAGCCAGGUUGUGGCUCUCAGCCUGUGGCUCCUUGUCCCCGCUCCCCCCGGAUGGCCCUGUGGUGGCCUUAGGGGCCCUCAGCCUUUCUCUGGACCCUGGUCGGGCCGGAAUCGCCGCUGUCUCUCCUUCCUCCGCGUGGGUCUCUGGAAUCUUCCUUCUCCAGCUGGCCCUGGGCUGGGCUGGGUCAAGCCCGCCUGGAGACGGAGCCCACGACCCCUUUCUCCCACCGAGCCCUCUGCCUGCCGCCAGCCUUCACCUGGAGUGAGGGCACACAUACCAAAGACAGAGCCUUUUCUCGCCUUUAAAGAAAGUAUAUCAGAAAGCAGCCCUCUAUCUCGGAGCCCUGGCCCAGGUUCCUGAUGGGGCAAGGAGGCACCGUUUCCUUUCCCGGCUGGACGUCAGCUCGCCUCCCUGGAACCAGCAGGUCCCCAGUUCCCUGGCAUGGAGACGGGUUCCUGUCCUGGCCGGGCUCAGAUUUUCCACCUGAAAAAUUAGUGCACAGUUGUCUUUUGGGGGGAGAAUCGAGGUGCUGUGGGCCCUCAGGCCAGGGCAAAUGCUGAUGUGGAAGUGGGGGGCAGCCUUGGGAUGAUGGGGGGUAUCCAGGCAACCCCAAGACAACUGACCCGGGUGGGGGUGGUUGUGAGGCCCCCGCCCUCCCAGCUGUCAACCUGCACUGGACACUUGGACUCUGUUUGUAAUUAAACCUGGGAAUGACCACGGGGCGCGUGAGCCGUCCUGCGCCUUACAAGGCCCUCUCGGGGUGGGGGUCUGGGUUCAGUCUCCUGGGGGGGAAGCCAAGGCAGCACCGGAUUUGGCCUCCCCGGGGCCGGAGGAAGAGGGAGCCAGGCCCUGGCUGUGCCCCUGUUUGGGGGGGGGUGG